GAAGGAGUGGGUCUUGUGGAGAAACGGUCCUAGGAUGAGGGUGUGGCCUGUGCAUAGGUGGAUGGGGCUUGGAGAGGUCAGACUUGGGUGAGGGGCAGAGCCUUGGACAGGUGGUCCCAGGACAGGAAUGUGGCCUAUUCAUAGGUGGGUGGGACCUUGGAGAGGUAGGCAGGGCCUUGGAGAGGUGCGACCUGGGAGAGGAAUGGAGCCUUGGAGAGGUGGGACCUGGGUGAGGGGCAGAGCCUUGGAGAGGUGGGACCUGGGAGAGGAAUGGAGCCUUGGAGAGGUGGGACCUGGGAGAGGGGCGGAGCCUUGGAGAGGUGGGACCUGAGUGAGGGGUGGGGCCUUGGAGAGGUAGGAGCUGGGAGACAGGUAGAGCCAUGGAGAGGUGGGAUCUGGGUGAGGCACGGGGCCUUGGAGAGGUGGGACCUGGGUGAGGGGUGGAACCUCGGAG
rnacentral:lncRNA from 1 species